rnacentral:rRNA from 1 species
AUUGAACGCUGGCGGCAGGCCUAACACAUGCAAGUCGAGCGAGCGGCGGACGGGUGAGUAAUGUCUGGGAAACUGCCUGAUGGAGGGGGAUAACUACUGGAAACGGUAGCUAAUACCGCAUACCAUCAGAUGUGCCCAGAUGGGAUUGGCUAGUAGGUGGGGUAACGGCUCCCCUGGGCGACGAUACCUAGCUGGUCUGAGUGGAUGACCAGCAAACAUGGACUUGGGACACGGUCCUGACUCCUACGGGAGGAAGCCGGGGGAAAGAUUGCAAAAUGGGCGCAGGCCUGAUGCAGCCAUGCCGCGGAGGUGAAGAAGGCUUUCGGGUUGUAAAGCACUUGCAGCGGGGAGGCGUUACCCGCAGAAGAAGCACCGGCUAACUCCGUGCCAGCAGCCGCGGUAAUAC